UACGAAGGGGGCUAGCGUUGUUCGGAAUUACUGGGCGUAAAGGGCGCGUAGGCUGUGCUGUAAGUCAGGCGUGAAAUCCCCGGGCUCAACCUGGGAACAACGCUUGAGACGGGAUGGCUAGAGAUCGGGAGAGGAGAGUGGAAUUCCCAGUGUAGAGGUGAAAUUCGUAGAUAUUGGGAAGAACACCGGUGGCGAAGGCGGCUCUCUGGACCGAUACUGACGCUGAGGCGCGAAAGCGUGGGGAGCAAACAGG
rnacentral:rRNA from 1 species